UCAGAUUGAACGCUGGCGGCAGGCUUAACACAUGCAAGUCGAGCGGUAGCACAGGGGAGCUUGCUCCCUGGGUGACGAGCGGCGGACGGGUGAGUAAUGUCUGGGAAACUGCCUGAUGGAGGGGGAUAACUACUGGAAACGGUAGCUAAUACCGCAUAACGUCGCAAGACCAAAGAGGGGGACCUUCGGGCCUCUUGCCAUCAGAUGUGCCCAGAUGGGAUUAGCUAGUAGGUGGGGUAAUGGCUCACCUAGGCGACGAUCCCUAGCUGGUCUGAGAGGAUGACCAGCCACACUGGAACUGAGACACGGUCCAGACUCCUACGGGAGGCAGCAGUGGGGAAUAUUGCACAAUGGGCGCAAGCCUGAUGCAGCCAUGCCGCGUGUGUGAAGAAGGCCUUCGGGUUGUAAAGCACUUUCAGCGAGGAGGAAGGUGGUGAGCUUAAUACGCUCAUCA
rnacentral:rRNA from 1 species